rnacentral:rRNA from 1 species
ACUUAAAUUGAAGAGUUUGAUCAUGGCUCAGAUUGAACGCUGGCGGCAGGCCUAACACAUGCAAGUCGAGCGGUAGCACAGAGAGCUUGCUCUCGGGUGACGAGCGGCGGACGGGUGAGUAAUGUCUGGGAAACUGCCUGAUGGAGGGGGAUAACUACUGGAAACGGUAGCUAAUACCGCAUAACGUCGCAAGACCAAAGUGGGGGACCUUCGGGCCUCAUGCCAUCAGAUGUGCCCAGAUGGGAUUAGCUAGUAGGUGGGGUAACGGCUCACCUAGGCGACGAUCCCUAGCUGGUCUGAGAGGAUGACCAGCCACACUG